UACGGAGGGUGCAAGCGUUAUCCGGAUUCACUGGGUUUAAAGGGUGCGUAGGUGGGUUGGUAAGUCAGUGGUGAAAUCUCCGAGCUUAGCUUGGAAACUGCCAUUGAUACUAUCAGUCUUGAAUAUUGUGGAGGUCAGCGGAAUAUGUCAUGUAGCGGUGAAAUGCUUAGAUAUGACAUAGAACACCAAUUGCGAAGGCAGCUGGCUACACAUAUAUUGACACUGAGGCACGAAAGCGUGGGGAUCAAACAGG
rnacentral:rRNA from 1 species